rnacentral:piRNA from 1 species
UCCCCAUUGUCACUGAGAACCACC